rnacentral:rRNA from 1 species
AUACGUAGGGGGCGAGCGUUGUCCGGAUUUAUUGGGCGUAAAGAGCUCGUAGGCGGUUCGAUAAGUCGGAUGUGAAAUCUCCACGCUCAACGUGGAGGGGCCAUUCGAUACUGUCGUGACUCGAGUCCGGUAGGGGAGUGUGGAAUUCCCGGUGUAGCGGUGAAAUGCGCAGAGAUCGGGAGGAACACCCGUAGCGAAGGCGGCACUCUGGGCCGGUACUGACGCUGAGGAGCGAAAGCGUGGGGAGCAAACAGGAUUAGAUACCCUGGUAGUCCACGCCGUAAACGUUGGGCACUAGGUGUGGGACUCUAUCGACGGGUUCCGUGCCGUAGCUAACGCAUUAAGUGCCCCGCCUGGGGAGUACGGCCGCAAGGCUAAA